AGGAGGAGAAAAACAAAAAAAGACACGGGCUGAAUAAUUUCUCGAUCUUAGGUGGUGGUGCAUGGCCGUUCUUAGUUGGUGGAGUGAUUUGUCUGGUUAAUUCACGUUAACGAACGAGACCUUAACCUGCUAAAUAGGGUACGGGAAUAGGCUUCGGCUGUCCCGUGAUCGCUUCUUAGAGGGACUUUGCGGUUAUAAAUCGCAAGGAAGUUUAAGGCAAUAACAGGUCUGUGAUGCCCUUAGAUGUCCUGGGCUGCACGCGCGCUACACUGAUGCGUUCAUCGAGUUUAUCCUUGGCCGAGAGGCCUGGGUAAUCUUUAGUACGCAUCGUGAUGGGGAUCGAUUAUUGCAAUUAUUAAUCGUGAACGAGGAAUGCCUAGUAUGCGCAAGUCACCAGCUUGUGCAGAUUACGUCCCUGCCCUUGGG
rnacentral:rRNA from 1 species